UACGUAGGGGGCGAGCGUUGUCCGGAUUCAUUGGGCGUAAAGAGCUCGUAGGCGGCUUGGCAAGUCGGGUGUGAAAACUCCAGGCUCAACCUGGAGACGCCACCCGAUACUGCCAUGGCUUGAGUCCGGUAGGGGACCACGGAAUUCCUGGUGUAGCGGUGAAAUGCGCAGAUAUCAGGAGGAACACCGGUGGCGAAGGCGGUGGUCUGGGCCGGUACUGACGCUGAGGAGCGAAAGCGUGGGGAGCAAACAGG
rnacentral:rRNA from 1 species